GAGAUUAAUGCCGGAUCCGAAGGAUUCGAUCUUGAUAGAAGUGUUUACCCGAUGCCGGUGUUUAAAGUUCUAUUUUACCACGGCCCGGUAUUCCCACCAGCCGUGAUUGUCCAAUGACAGACGUCCGUUUUACGAGCGCGAUAAAAUUUCGAAACGAUAAGCCGACAAUCUCCGAUUCCCAUUGUCAAGAGCGUCAGUCUACAGCGGCGAUCGGACGACGACGGUUGUGAAACCGGCUCUCACUCGACCAAACAUCGUCAAGAAAAGCGAUUAGUAAUUAGAAAGAGGAUCGAUGAUGGCGGAAAAGCAGAAGAUAACUGAAGAGAUUAAACAAGCAGACGCGCAGGAAGUAUCCACACUUGAGCCUCCUCAGAUAACAUUGAGAAGCAUCAUCGGUGCCGGUGCACCCUGCAAUGAUGAUGUGAAAUAUAUAGACGGCGUCACGCACAGAAAGGACAAGGCUGGAAACUGGCGGCCGGUGAUUAGUAUAGACGUAAAUGACACUUAAUUCUGCUGCUAUUACGUACUCUUAAUUUUACUGUUCUACGAAGCGAAUCGGUCGCUGGUCAUUAUAUCCGAUGCGAGGAAAUAAUUAAUUCUUUGCACAAAAUGUAAUCGAAAUAAAUGCUUCAUGGACUACUC